rnacentral:rRNA from 1 species
GAUGAACGCUAGCGACAGGCUUAACACAUGCAAGUCGAGGGGCAGCACAGGUAGCAAUACCGGGUGGCGACCGGCGCACGGGUGAGUAACGCGUAUGCAACUUGCCUAUCAGAGGGGGAUAACCCGGCGAAAGUCGGACUAAUUCCGAAUGGUCUCCUUUGACGGCAUCAGAAGCGGAGUAAAGAUUUAUCGGUGUAGGAUGGGGAUGCGUCCGAUUAGCUGGUUGGUGUGGUAACGGCUCACCAAGGCUACGAUCGGUAGGGGUUCUGAGAGGAAGGUCCCCCACAUUGGUACUGAGACACGGACCAA